ACUCCUACGGGAGGCAGCAGUGGGGAAUAUUGCACAAUGGGCGCAAGCCUGAUGCAGCCAUGCCGCGUGUAUGAAGAAGGCCUUCGGGUUGUAAAGUACUUUCAGCAGUGAGGAAGGCAGGUACGUUAAUAGCGUGCUUGUUUGACGUUAGCUGCAGAAGAAGCACCGGCUAACUCCGUGCCAGCAGCCGCGGUAA
rnacentral:rRNA from 1 species